AAAUAAAUUAUGUAGAAUAAAAUCAAUUAAUUAAAUAUUUAAAAUGCAUUGCACUGAUUUUGCAUGUUAUAUUAACAAAAAUAUGUUGCAUAUAUUGUUUUGGCGAGAUUAGUGUGAUGAUAUGUUAUUUUUCGUCUCUGUCAUUAUAUGAUGAAAAUUCUAGUCCUGAAAUCUUUUUUCGAAGACAAAAAUGUUUAUGGAUAUUAAAUAUAUUCAAACAACGCCGUCUUUUUUGUAUUUGCAGGUUUGCCAACUUCUCCACAGAUUGUUUAAAUAGGGAUUUAAAAUUUGUUUCACAUUUUCAGUUGCAACUCGAAAAUCGAUUUUCGUUAUUUGUUCUUACGAAGGGUUUUAAAAAUAUUAUUUUAAUUUGCAUUUUACGGUUAUCACUUUUGUGGCAAACAGGGCCAGGACUUUAUAACUUUUUUUUGGCUAUUAGAUUUCAAAUUAUAAAAACAGGAAGUCUUAUUUCUGGAACCUGUAAAAUCUUACUGAUUCAAACCUUAUAUAUAAACAGAAUGUCAGACUUUUUUCACAGAAAACUGAUCUAUCGGUUAAAGCCUGCAUUUGGAUACCCUUAAAACCAGAGUUUGCAUAUAUGGGACCUUAUACAUUAGCAUUAAUGGUCAAGUCGAUAUAGUAUGUUUAUCCGUUUCUACGCAAACUAAUAUUAAACUAUUUAUAUACUGUUGAAAGUAUACAUGAAUGUAUAAAAAUAAAUUUGUAAAUUAUAACUUCAUUGUUAUUUGAACAUUACGCACACUCAAAAAUAUAAUUAAGCGAUAAAAAUCAGGCGUCUAUAUCAUACAACUGAGGGUUUUCAAGUUAGUCUGUUUAGGAAAGGUCUUGCUACGUUUUAGGUAUCGUACGUGUGUCCGGUAAUUUUCAAACGUUAAAUGCGGACUUGCUAGAAAUAGAGGGAAAAAUCUACGGAUCCAAGGUCUGCUGAUCUGUGCACAGAGUGUAUUAAAAAGGGAUUUUAAUUUUGUUAAACAUUUUCAGUUGCAACUCGCAAAAUAUUCAGUUUUCUUGAUUUGGUUUUGCAUUCAUUACACUGUGUUGGCUUUAGCGUUUGAGAAAAUGUACUUCAAAAUUGUACAAAUUUAUCAUUUAUGAAUCUCAAUAACAGAUCAGUUUGACCGACGGCAGGAUUUCUGCAGCCAAGAAUGAGGUGUUUGGCGCGCCAAUGUCCCCCUCACCCCUUUGGAUGGUUCUCAACAUUUUUCGAACAUGUUAAAUAAAGAUGUAUCCACAAUUAAAAAAAAGUCAGGUCAAGGAACUCAACAAAAAAAUCUUAGAAA